UUAUCUGAUAUUAUGAGAAGUCAAGUAGAAAACAAAAAAAAAAAUUCUUUUUGGUGUCUUCUCGAGUUCUAGAUCUAUGUGAUACUCUUCAUGGGCGAUUUACAAGAACUUACAUAAUGGUGAUCUCCGAUUUACAAUCAGAUGUAACGAUGAAAGCGAGAAGUAUUUUUCGCUAUGAGUCUGUUCAAGUCCGUCAAAUAUAAUUUAGAGGGUCAAUCAAGGUUGAAGAUUGUGUUCACCAGUGAGAAUCUUCUGAAACUUGGCCAAGCUUAAGAAGUUGGAAUCUGAUUUUGGAUCACUUCUCGUAACCAUAGUCCCGUUUACAAAACUCAACUUGUAAAGAUGAUUUGUGGGACGAAAUUGUCCAUUGGCAUGUGUUAAAGAAAAAGUCUCUAUGAAUUUCCGCUCACCAACAGCUAGGUGGUUCACGACGUGUAACCAAGUCUUUUUUGACUGAGACAUGGAUUUUCAUUCCCUGAAAUGAUUAAAAUAGAGAAUCAUAAGAUGCAUGCCAUACAUAAAAUGUAUACUACAUAAAUUACUUACAGUUUCAUCAGCCAUAAUUAAUUCUAGGGGUUCUCCAGUACGCCACUUAUGCAGGACCUUAACUUGAACUCUCCAUGCUGUCUUGUACGGACGGAUAUCUCGCAGGAAUGCAAAUGAUGCAAGCCAUUUCUCUCGAUUAGUGGUUGGAUAUGCAGGAUGUAGGUUUUAGCUGUGAGUGUUGGUAUGUUAUUGUUCGUGAAUAUAGUAUUUAUAAAUUCCAAUAUGCUUGAUGACCAAGGCUAUUGUAAUCGCUGUAUUAAUUCAAAGCGAGAUUACAAUAAUCUUUGUGUUAUUAAGACAGUGAUUUUGCCCUUCAAAAUUAGUUUCCAAAUAAUCUAUAUAGAGAAUUAAAAGUUUGGCUUGGUUGUAAA